ACGAGUGGCAAAGCGUGAGGCAGGCUUCGCAGUGCUGCGACAGAGCAGUGGU
rnacentral:SRP_RNA from 9 species